rnacentral:tRNA from 1 species
AACUAUUUAGUUUAUAUAUUUGUAAAACUAAUGUUUUGAAAACAUUUAAAAGAAAGAUUUCUAAUAGUUA